CCCUUAGAUGUCCUGGGCCGCACGCGCGCUACAAUGACUCACUCAGAAAGUUUUUCCUGAUCCGGAAGGAUUCGGGUAAUCUUCAUAGCACGAGUCGUGUUAGGGAUCGAUCUUUGCAAUUAUAGAUCUUGAACGAGGAAUGCCUAGUAAGUGCAGCUCAUCAGGCUGUACUGAUUACGUCCCUGCCCUUUGUACACACCGCCCGUCGCUCCUACCGAUUGAGUGGUCCGGUGAACCUUCUGGAUUAAGCAGCAAUGCUUGAGAAGUUAGGUAAACCUUAUCACUUAGAGGAAGGAGAAGUCGUAACA
rnacentral:rRNA from 1 species